AUCAGGAACCUCACGUCCCUCCUGGGAUGAUAAUAGACCUUUUGUCUUUUCUAGCAAGUCCUUUCUGGUAUAAAGACCACUGUCCUUUUGGUUUGAGUACUGUGGUUUCUACAGAAUUUACCUUCUGUCUCUGAGGCAUGUCUUUGCUGGUGAAUUUACUUUUGUUUUUUCUGCACACCUAAUUUAAUAUUUUGUUUGAUCUGCAUGUCUGGUUUAAAAUUUUUGUGAACACUCUUAUCUUAAUUUGGUUAUGUGCAUCUGUAAAUGAUUUGGCUUUUUUUCC
rnacentral:lncRNA from 1 species